UCAUGGCUGAGCCAUCUGACUCUCCAAAUUAUAAGGACCAACUUGGGAGUUUUAUCGCAUUUCUGCCGCCCAGGCAUGAAGUCAGCUGGACGGCGCGUGACAGGGAGUGUUCCUCUUGUAAUUAAUCGGGGUGUGCGUUUUUUUUUCAUCUUCUGCCUAAAUUCAGCGUGCUGUGAGCGUGCGCGCUCCCUCGGAGCUACCCUGCGCAGUAGCGGAGCAAUUAAUGACGCCCCAGCACCCCGAAGACCCCCCCAAGUUUUAAAAGUUUGCCCUGCUGCCUGCUGUCCUCCACGGAGAAGCUGCCAGUGGGCCUCAGAACUCUUCCUGGGUUAGUUUGCCCCAGCACGUGCAUAGCCUCAAAUGGCUCCUUGGGCAGCCUCUGGACUCUGGCUCUCGGAUCUUAACUGGCUGCUGGCACCCCAGAUGCAGAAACUCAUAUUACAGAAAAGUGAGGUUGGUAUUCUGUGAUGAUCCUGCAUUCAAAGGACAAUUUGAAUUGCUGGCAUUGGAAAAAGAGCCAUUGGAAGUAGCAGGAGAAGGAAAAACCAUCAUCAUACAACUGGUAGAAAGAAGUUCCCAAGAGUGAGAGUCUGAUUGGCCAACCUCAUUCCUGGGCUUCUGGAAGCACAACCGGAGGGAACGGCUGAAUUGUGAUGCAGGAAGCAGCCAAAGGAGGAUGCAGGAGAAACGGAGCCGAGUGUCAG